rnacentral:rRNA from 1 species
GAUGAACGCUGGCGGCGUGCCUAAUACAUGCAAGUCGAGCGAACAGACGAGGAGCUUGCUCCUCUGACGUUAGCGGCGGACGGGUGAGUAACACGUGGAUAACCUACCUAUAAGACUGGGAUAACUUCGGGAAACCGGAGCUAAUACCGGAUAACAUGUUGAACCGCAUGGUUCAACAGUGAAAGACGGUUUUGCUGUCACUUAUAGAUGGAUCCGCGUCGCAUUAGCUAGUUGGUAAGGUAACGGCUUACCAAGGCAACGAUGCGUAGCCGACCUGAGAGGGUGAUCGGCCACACUGGAACUGAGACACGGUUCAGACUCCUACGGGAGGCAGCAGUAGGGAAUCUUCCGCAAUGGGCGAAAGCCUGACGGAGCAACGCCGCGUGAGUGAAGAAGGUCUUCGGAUCGUAAAACUCUGUUAUUAGGGAAGAACAAAUGUGUAAGUAACUAUGCACGUCUUGACGGUACCUAAUCAGAAAGCCACGGUUAACUACGU